rfam:Pseudorhodoferax sp. Leaf267 contig_3, whole genome shotgun sequence.
ACCUUCCUCACUGGAGAGAGGUCCACCCCGUGUGGAUCCACCGAAGGGGCAAACCGCGCAGGCGGCGAAUCUCUCAGGUAAAGCGGACAGCGAGGCAGCC